rnacentral:rRNA from 1 species
AUUGAACGCUGGCGGCACGCUUAACACAUGCAAGUCGAACGGCAGCGGGAGAGAGCUUGCUCUCUUGCCGGCGAGUGGCGCACGGGUGAGUAACGCGUAGGGAUCUGCCUGUUAGAGGGGGAUAAGCCGAGGAAACUUGGACUAAUACCGCAUACGCUCUGAGGAGGAAAGGCUGGGACUUGGAAACGAGCCAGUCGCUAACAGAUGAACCUGCGUUAGAUUAGCUAGUUGGUAGGGUAAAGGCCUACCAAGGCGAAGAUCUAUAGCUGGUCUGAGAGAAUGACCAGCCCAACUGGAACGUAGAGACGGACCAGACUCCUACGGGAGGCAGCAGUGGGGAAUAUUGGACAAUGGGGGGAACCCUGAUCCAGCGAUGCCGCGUGGGUGAAGAAGGCCUGAGGGUUGUAAAGCACUUUAGUUAGGGAGGAAAGUUCCUGUUCGAAUAGGGCAGGAAGAAGACGUUACCUAAAGAAUAAGCACCGGCAAACUCUGUGCCAGCCGCCGCCGUAA